UGGUUGGUGGUGCAUGGCCGUUCUUAGUUCGUGGAGCGAUCUGUCUGGUUAAUUCCGAUAACGAACGAGACUCUUGCCUGCUAAAUAGACGGCGCCGCCUUUGCACGGCGACCGUUUGCUUCUUAGAGGGACAAGCGGCUUUUAGCCGCGUGAAGCAGAGAGCAAUAACAGGUCAGUGAUGCCCUCAGAUGUUCGGGGCCGCACGCGCGCUACACUGUUUGCAUCAGCGUGUUACUCCCGCGCCGGCUGGCGUGGGCAACCCGUUGAACCGCAAACGUGCUAGGGAUCGGAGAUUGCAAUUGUUCUCCGUGAACGAGGAAUUCCUUGUACUGGCGAGUCAUCAGCUCGCGGGGAAUCUGUCCCUGCCCUUUGUACACACCGCCCGUCGCUACUACCGAUUGAGUGGUUUAGUGAGGCUCACGGACUGCGCGCGGCACUCGGCGUCUUCGGGCGUCGCGCCGUGUCGCGGAAAGUGAGACGAACUUGAUCACUUCUAGGAAGUAA
rnacentral:rRNA from 1 species